GACGGAAGGUGCAAGCGUUGCUCGGAAUCACUGGGCGUAAAGGGUGCGUAGGCGGCCGUGCAAGUCUGGCGUGAAAGCCCCGGGCUCAGCCCGGGAAGUGCGCUCGAAACUGUCGGGCUAGAGUGCGGAAGAGGCGAGUGGAAUUCCUGGUGUAGCGGUGAAAUGCGCAGAUAUCAGGAGGAACACCAAUUGCGAAGGCAGCUCGCUGGGACGUUACUGACGCUGAGACGCGAAAGCGUGGGGAGCAAACAGG
rnacentral:rRNA from 1 species